rnacentral:rRNA from 1 species
UACGUAGGGGGCAAGCGUUAAUCGGAAUUACUGGGCGUAAAGCGUGCGCAGGCGGUUGUGUAAGACAGAUGUGAAAUCCCCGGGCUCAACCUGGGAAUUGCAUUCGAGACUGCGUAGCUAGGGUGCGGAAGAGGGAAGCGGAAUUUCCGGUGUAGCGGUGAAAUGCGUAGAUAUCAAGAGGAACACCUGCGGCGAAGGCGGGUUGCUGGGCCGACACUGACGCUGAUGCGCGAAAGCUAGGGGAGCGAACGGG